rnacentral:rRNA from 1 species
GACGAACGCUGGCGGCGUGCCUAACACAUGCAAGUCAAGGACUGUAGCAAUACAGGACUGGCGCACGGGUGCGGAACACGUAGGUAAUCUGCCCUUUAGGGAGAACAACCAGCGAAGGUUAGGCUAAAUACUCCGUAACAUCACGAUGUGGCAUCACAUUGUAAUCAAGUUUUACUUAAGGAAUGAGCCUGCGUCUGAUUAGCUAGUUGGUAGUGUAAUGGACACC